CCUACGGGAGGCAGCAGUAGGGAAUCUUUCACAAUGGGCGAAAGCCUGAUGGAGCAACGCCGCGUGCAGGAUGAAGGCCUUCGGGUUGUAAACUGCUUUUAUAAGCGAGAAAUAUGAUGGUAACUUAUGAAUAAGGAUCGGCUAACUACGUGCCAGCAGCCGCGGUCAUACGUAGGAUCCGAGCAUUAUCCGGAGUGACUGGGUGUAAAAAGUUGCGUAGGUGGCAUAAUAAGUAGCUAGUGAAAUCUGGUGGCUCAACCAUUCAGACUAUUAGCUAAACUGUUAAGCUCGAGACCGUUAGGGGUAACUGGAAUUUCUAGUGUAGGAGUGAAAUCCGUAGAUAUUAGAAGGAACACCAAUAGCGAAGGCAGGUUACUGGGACGGUUCUGACACUAAGGCACGAAAGCGUAGGGAGCAAACGGGAUUAGAUACCCUGGUAGUC
rnacentral:rRNA from 1 species